rnacentral:misc_RNA from 1 species
UGCUGCAUUAUUUGGAGUGGUAAAACCUAUUGGUCCAGCAGAUGCAGAAGGAUGAGAGACUUGGGAAGGAUUAGGCAUCCACCCAGCAAGAGCAUUUUGCAGAGGAGCAGGUCCUUGCUGGAAAGAAGUUACACCAUGAGGACCCAAAGCUUGAAAAACCCCCGGCUUUGGAACAGCUCCCAUGAGUGGAUGGGUUACAGGAGACGGAGCACGUGCACCAUUUGGCUGUGAAGGACCACAAGAAUGGUCCACAAAUAAGGUCUUUAUGUCAGGAUUAGGCUUCGGGCUCUUGCAAAGCUGAUGCUGCCAGUUCAAACUCUGGUUG